rnacentral:rRNA from 1 species
GCUUAACACAUGCAAGUCGAGGGGCAGCAUUUUAGUUUGCUUGCAAACUGAAGAUGGCGACCGGCGCACGGGUGAGUAAUACGUAUCCAACCUGCCGAUAACUCCGGAAUAGCCUUUCGAAAGAAAGAUUAAUACCGGAUAGCAUACGAAUAUCGCAUGAUAUUUUUAUUAAAGAAUUUCGGUUAUCGAUGGGGAUGCGUUCCAUUAGUUUGUUGGCGGGGUAACGGCCCACCAAGACAACGAUGGAUAGGGGUUCUGAGAGGAAGGUCCCCCACAUUGGAACUGAGACACGGUCCAAACUCCUACGGGAGGCAGCAGUGAGGAAUAUUGGUCAAUGGGCGAGAGCCUGAACCAGCCAAGUAGCGUGAAGGAUGAAGGCUCUAUGGGUCGUAAACUUCUUUUAUAUGGGAAUAAAGUUUUCCACGUGUGGAAUUUUGUAUGUACCAUAUGAAUAAGGAUCGGCUAACUCCGUGCCAGCAGCCGCGGUAAUACGGAGGAUCCGAGCGUUAUCCGGAUUUAUUGGGUUUAAAGGGAGCGUAGGUGGAUUGUUAAGUCAGUUGUGAAAGUUUGCGGCUCAACCGUAAAAUUGCAGUUGAAACUGGCAGUCUUGAGUACAGUAGAGGUGGGCGGAAUUCGUGGUGUAGCGGUGAAAUGCUUAGAUAUCACGAAGAACUCCGAUUGCGAAGGCAGCUCACUAGACUGUCACUGACACUGAUGCUCGAAAGUGUGGGUAUCAAACAGGAUUAGAUACCCUGGUAGUCCACACAGUAAACGAUGAAUACUCGCUGUUUGCGAUAUACAGUAAGCGGCCAAGCGAAAGCAUUAAGUAUUCCACCUGGGGAGUACGCCGGCAACGGUGAAACUCAAAGGAAUUGACGGGGGCCCGCACAAGCGGAGGAACACGUGGUUUAAUUCGAUGAUACGCGAGGAACCUUACCCGGGCUUAAAUUGCAACAGAAUAUAUUGGAAACAGUAUAGCCGUAAGGCUGUUGUGAAGGUGCUGCAUGGUUGUCGUCAGCUCGUGCCGUGAGGUGUCGGCUUAAGUGCCAUAACGAGCGCAACCCUUAUCUUUAGUUACUAACAGGUGAUGCUGAGGACUCUAGAGAGACUGCCGUCGUAAGAUGUGAGGAAGGUGGGGAUGACGUCAAAUCAGCACGGCCCUUACGUCCGGGGCUACACACGUGUUACAAUGGGGGGUACAGAAGGCGGCUACCUGGUGACAGGAUGCUAAUCCCAAAAACCUCUCUCAGUUCGGAUCGAAGUCUGCAACCCGACUUCGUGAAGCUGGAUUCGCUAGUAAUCGCGCAUCAGCCAUGGCGCGGUGAAUACGUUCCCGGGCCUUGUACACACCGCCCGUCAAGCCAUGAAAGCCGGGGGUACCUGAAGUACGUAACCGCAAGGAGCGUCCUAGGGUAAAACUGGUAAUUGGGGCUAAGUCAUAAC